UUGGCAAAGUGGGUGGGGUUAUAUCCUUCCUGUUUGGCCCUGUCCGGGGGUGUCCUCGGAUGGGGCCACAGUGUCUCCUGACCCCUCCUGUCUCAGCCUCCAGUAUUUAUGCUGCAUUAGUUUAUGUGUCGGGGGGCUAGGGUCAGUUUGUUAUAUCUGGAGUACUUCUCCUGUCCUAUUCGGUGUCCUUUGUGAAUCUAAGUGUGCGUUCUCUAAUUCUCUCCUUCUCUCUUUCUUUCUCUCUCUCGGAGGACCUGAGCCCUAGGACCAUGCCCCAGGACUACCUGACAUGAUGACUCCUUGCUGUCCCCAGUCCACCUGGCCAUGCUGCUGCUCCAGUUUCAACUGGCCUGGGCCCUAGGACCAUGUCCCAGGACUACCUGACAUGAUGACUCCUUGCUGUCCCCAGUCCACCUGGCCAUGCUGCUGCUCCAGUUUCAACUGUUCUGCCUUACUAUUAUUCAACCAUGCUGGACCUGAGCCCUAGGACCGUGCCCCAGGACUACCUGACAUGAUGACUCCUUGCUGUCCCCAGUCCACCUGACUGUGCUGCUGCUCCAGUUUCAACUGUUCUGCCUUAUUAUUAUUCGACCAUGCUGGUCAUUUAUGAACAUUUGAACAUCUUGGUCAUGUUCUGUUAUAAUCUCUACCCGGCACAGCCAGAAGAGGACUGGCCACCCCACAUAGCCUGGUUCCUCUCUAGGUUUCUUCCUAGGUUUUGGCCUUUCUAGGGAGUUUUUCCUAGCCACCGUGCUUUUACACCUGCAUUGUUUGCUGUUUGGGGUUUUAGGCUGGGUUUCUGUACAGCACUUUGAGAUAUCAGCUGAUGUACGAAGGGCUAUAUAAAUAAAUUUGAUUUGAUUUGA